GGUUGAUCCUGCCAGUAGUCAUAUGCUUGUCUCAAAGAUUAAGCCAUGCAUGUCUAAGUAUAAAUAAAUUUAUAUUGUGAAACUGCGAAUGGCUCAUUAAAUCAGUUAUGAUCUACGUGACAUAUUCAUUACUACUUGGAUAACCGUGGUAAUUCUAGAGCUAAUACAUGCAGAAAAACCCUGACUUUUUUUUGAAGGGGUGCACUUAUUAGAUAAAACCAACACUGGGUAAAACCAGUUUUCCUUGGUGAUUCAUAAUAAUUUAGCGGAUCGCAUGGCCUUGUGCUAGCGA
rnacentral:rRNA from 1 species